CAUGGCUUAGGAGUACCGGUUUUGAAUUGCGAUGCAAAGGAUUUUGUGCAUACAUAUGAAGAUCAUGUUCCUACAUCUCAUAAUUCCCAUUACAAGGCCACUCUCAAUCAAGUGUCUCGAUAUAGUAGGGCCAUUCAAACCUGUACAAGGAGAAUUCACACAUCUCUUUGUGGCUAUACACAAAUUUACAGAAGUGGUCUCAUGUAUAAAGAUCUCAACUAAGAUGUAUAACUCGAUAACUGAUCGUACGUACUGUGUGCUGGACACAUCCUUGUACUUUCACUUUCUGACUCGCUCGUUAACUAAGCAGCACAUUAAGAAGCACAUCCGGCUAGCAUCAGCCGGUGCCGGUGACCCCGAGAUCCGGCUUCCCGUCCUCCGUGCCGGCGCCGAACACCGGCCCGCCCUUGCCCGCGGCAUCCUCGACCGCGUCCUCCAGCUUCCUGACAGGCAGCCCGCG
rnacentral:lncRNA from 1 species